AGGAUCCACCCCUUCCCAGACCUCAUUUAAGGGUUAGCAUUGAAGGUAAGGCUCUAUCUCUGGAGGUGGCUAUGUACCUGAGGCCUUCUGAAGGUCUUCACUCCCUUAUGAAUGUCCCUAUGCCUGCGCAGAGAAUGGUGCUUCUGUCUUUGCACGAAUUUCUCUCCGCUGUUCUCACAGCAGACGAACAACGGGUCGGAUCCGGAGGCGGUGUAAAACGGCUGUCGCAAUGGGUGUCGAUGGAAACCCGGCUCCGGGUUUCGUGUCUCAGCUCUGUAAAGGAGCCAGGUCUGUGAGCACCAUCUAGUGGCUCUGCUCACACAGACAUCACUGCAUUUCACAACGCCCUGCUGGGUUACAAACAUCAGCAGCUACGGUUAAGUGCAAGUGAAGAACCAGCAUUCAAGUGCAGCUGCCCUCCUGACUGACCUCCUCUCUGCACCUGUCCCAGCUUGGUUUGCAGGGCAGCCCCCAGCUGUGUACAGGCCAUGCUCAUGGACUCAGGAUGUAGAUCCUCAUGCUGUAAGUCUCUUGAACUUGAUAAUGUAUAAUGUGACAAUGACCACUUCUACAAAUGCUGCUCUUCUACAUAAAUGCUUUCUGGUCCCUGAUGAUUUGCAAUUUUGCAGGUGUAUCAUGUUUCUCUUUCUUCACUCUGGAGAGAGAAAAUACAUUUUAUUUGC